GACAGAGGGUGCAAACGUUGCUCGGAAUUACUGGGCGUAAAGCGCGUGUAGGUGGACUGGUGUGUCAGAUGUGAAAUCCCUGGGCUCAACCCAGGAACUGCACCUGAAACUACCAGUCUUGAGUGGUGGAGAGGGAAGUGGAAUUCCUGGUGUAGAGGUGAAAUUCGUAGAUAUCAGGAGGAACACCAGUGGCGAAGGCGGCUUCCUGGACACCAACUGACGCUGAGACGCGAAAGCGUGGGGAGCAAACAGG
rnacentral:rRNA from 1 species